rnacentral:lncRNA from 1 species
AGCAAAAAUGGUGGCAUGGCCAGGAUCGGCAAGGUGAGCAAAGAGGUUAUCGAUGGGUCCUGUUCCAGUGUAAAUGUGUUGGAACCAUGCUCCCAUCACAGCCAACAUGGCCAAUCUUCCAUUCUUGAUCUCCUUUGUCCUCAAUUCCUUCACCUUUUCAGGAGAUCCAGAUCCCCAUCCAAGUGGAUCGAACCAUAGGCCACCAGGGUAGCCAACAUCAGUUCCUGUGAGCUUGUUGUUGGGGAAGAUGGGAUCGGUGUUCACGCAGCCAGGUUUAAUAAUGUCCGCCCAUCGUCUUCCCUCAGCCCAACCAAUGAAAAUCAAUUCAACGACGAAGAGUGUUGUGGUAUCAGUGAAGUAUUCUUGUUCA